GAUGAAGAACGUAGCGAAAUGCGAUACGUAAUGUGAAUUGCAGAAUUCAGUGAAUCAUCGAGUCUUUGAACGCACAUUGCGCCCCCUGGUAUUCCGGGGGCAUGCCUGUCCGAGCGUCAUUGCUGCCCUCAAGCACGGCUUGUGUGUUGGGCCUCCGUCCUCCUCCCGGGGGACGGGCCCGAAAGGCAGCGGCGGCACCGCGUCCGGUCCUCGAGCGUAUGGGGCUUCGUCACCCGCUCUUGUAGGCCCGGCCGGCGCUUGCCGACACAUCAAUCUUUUUUCCAGGUUGACCUCGGAUCAGGUAGGGAUACCCGCUGAACUUAAGCAUAUCAAUAGCGGAGGA
rnacentral:misc_RNA from 1 species